rnacentral:rRNA from 1 species
GAUGAACGCUAGCGGCAGGCCUAAUACAUGCAAGUCGAACGGUGUCUUCGGACAUAGUGGCGCACGGGUGCGUAACACGUAUGCAACCUACCUUACAUUGGGGGAUAGCCUUUCGAACGGGAGAUUAAUACCGCAUAAGACAGUAGCUGGGCAUCCAGCAGCUGUUAAAGAUUUAUCGAUGUAAGCUGGGCAUGCGUCCAAUUAGCUAGUUGGUGAGGUAACGGCUCACCAAGGCAAUGAUUGGUAGGGGAACUGAGAGGUCAAUCCCCCACACUGGCACUGAGAUACGGGCCAGACUCCUACGGGAGGCAGCAGUAGGGAAUAUUGGGCAAUGGACGCAAGUUUGACCCAGCCAUGCCGCGUGCAGGAUGAAGGCGUUAUGCGUUGUAAACUGCUUUUAUACAGGAAGAAACGACUCUUGCGAGAGGCAUUGACGGUACUGUAUGAAUAAGCACCGGCUAACUUCGUGCCAGCAGCCGCCGUAAGAC